UAGGUGACUUGCAUGGGGACUCUAACCGAUAUGACUGGACUAAGCUUAGUGAUGAACUCAAGUCAAAUUUGUCUAGAAGUGUUGCCUCCCUUGCUUUGUGCAAUGGAGACACGGUGUUAUUUAAUUUGCAUGCUCAGGCAUAGCUAUAGACUGCCAGGAGAAUCUGACAAGGUUUUUGACCUCAGCAACUUUGGCCAGAGCUUUCAUCAGUGGUGAUAAAAGAAAAUUCCAUGAUAACUUAAAGAUUAAAGUGCGCCAUGAAGGCAAUGAAGUGUACGAGGGUGUUUUGUCUGAAUAUGAUUUAGAUCACAAUUUUGCUAUUGUCAUCGUCAAACACCUCCCUCGAUGUUCAUGUUGGACUUUUCAAACAUAGGGUGGAAAAUAUGCCCCGUGGUAUGGUGCUAGCUUUAGGGCGUGGCAUCUCUGGCACAUUAGUACCCACAAAUGUGAUACUCGCUAGUGAAGAUAAUGAAGCUCCUCUUUGGCAAAUGUCAGAGGUUCUGGAAGGUGGACCACUUUUUACUUUUGAUGGGAACUUUGUUGGCAUGAACCUUUUUUUGGUUAUUGUAAAAGCCUAUUUCAUAUCAUGGGGCUCAAUUCUCGAUUGGCUGAAUUGUACAUCCCUGCAAAAGAAGACAUAUCUUCCUCGUUCAAAAAGUUUAAAGGUAGCCAGGUUUGGAUCCAGACCCACGUGACAAAUUGAAUGGCCAUUCAGAAGUACACAGACCAAUACACAGAGAUGAUAUGACCAGUGGAUAUUGUAGGGAUCUAGAGUCCCUGGGUUACCCUAUGCCACAAAUAGACAUGGUCGAUGGUG